rnacentral:snRNA from 1 species
AUGCUCACCUCAGCAGCACAUAUACUAAAAUUGUAAUAAUAAAGAGAAGAUUAGCAUGGCCCCUUUAAAAGUCUUUAAUAAAAAGGUCGGGCAUGGUGGCUCAUGCCU